AUUUAAAUAGCUUAAUGAGAGUAUAACAUUGAAGAUGUUAGGGUGAUUAUUUUAAUCUUUAAAUA
rnacentral:tRNA from 1 species